rnacentral:rRNA from 1 species
UACAGAGGUCUCAAGCGUUGUUCGGAUUCAUUGGGCGUAAAGGGUGCGUAGGUGGCGCCGUAAGUCGGGUGUGAAAUUUCGGAGCUUAACUCCGAAACUGCAUUCGAUACUGCGGUGCUUGAGGACUGGAGAGGAGACUGGAACUCAUGGUGUAGCAGUGAAAUGCGUAGAGAUCAUGAGGAAGACCAGUGGCGAAGGCGGGUCUCUGGACAGUUCCUGACACUGAGGCACGAAGGCCAGGGGAGCAAACGGG